UACAGAGGUCCCAAGCGUUAUCCGGAUUCACUGGGUUUAAAGGGUGCGUAGGCGGAUUCUUAAGUCCGUGGUGAAAUCUCCAAGCUUAACUUGGAAACUGCCAUGGAUACUAUUAGUCUUGAAUGUUGUGGAGGUUAGCGGAAUAUGUCAUGUAGCGGUGAAAUGCAUAGAUAUGACAUAGAACACCAAUUGCGAAGGCAGCUGGCUACACAAAUAUU
rnacentral:rRNA from 1 species